GUCCACGCCGUAAACGAUGAUUACUAGGUGUCGGUGGGUAUGGACCCACCGGUGCCGCAGCAAACGCAGUAAGUAAUCCACCUGGGGAGUACGUUCGCAAGAAUGAAACUCAAAGGAAUUGACGGGGACCCGCACAAGCGGUGGAGCAUGUGGUUUAAUCCGAAGCAACGCGAAGAACCUUACCAAGUCUUGACAUCUGGAUGACAGGGACGUAACGGUCCCCUUACUUCGGUACAUCCAAGACAGGUGGUGCAUGGUUGUCGUCAGCUCGUGUCGUGAGAUGUUGGGUUAAGUCCCGCAACGAGCGCAACCCUUAUCUUCAGUAGCCAGCAGGUAAAGCCGGGCACUCUGGAGAGACUGCCGGGGAUAACCCGGAGGAAGGUGGGGAUGACGUCAAAUCAUCAUGCCCCUUAUGAUUUGGGCUACACACGUGCUACAAUGGCGUAAACAGAGGGAAGCGAGCCCGCGAGGGGGAGCAAAUCCCAAAAAUAACGUCCCAGUUCGGAUUGUAGUCUGCAACCCGACUACAUGAAGCUGGAAUCGCUAGUAAUCGCGGAUCAGAAUGCCGCGGUGAAUACGUUCCCGGGUCUUGUACACACCGCCCGUCACACCAUGGGGGUCGGAAAUGCCCGAAGUCUGUGACCUAACCGUAAGGGAGGAGCAGCCGAAGGCAGGUCGGAUGACUGGGGUGAAGUCGUAACAAGGUAGCCGUAUCGGAAGGUGCGGCUGGAUCACCUC
rnacentral:rRNA from 1 species